GACGAACGCUGGCGGCGUGCUUAACACAUGCAAGUCGAACGGAAAGGCCCUGCUUUUGUGGGGUGCUCGAGUGGCGAACGGGUGAGUAACACGUGAGUAACCUGCCCUUGACUUUGGGAUAACUUCAGGAAACUGGGGCUAAUACCGGAUAGGAGCUCCUGCUGCAUGGUGUGGGUUGGAAAGUUUCGGCGGUUGGGGAUGGACUCGCGGCUUAUCAGCUUGUUGGUGGGGUAGUGGCUUACCAAGGCUUUGACGGGUAGCCGGCCUGAGAGGGUGACCGGCCACAUUGGGACUGAGAUACGGCCCAGACUCCUACGGGAGGCAGCAGUGGGGAAUAUUGCACAAUGGGAGGAAGCCUGAUGCAGCAACGCCGCGUGCGGGAUGACGGCCUUCGGGUUGAAAACCGCUUUCGCCUGUGACGAAGCGUGAGUGACGGUAAUGGGUAAAGAAGCACCGGCUAACUACGUG
rnacentral:rRNA from 1 species